UGAACUCCUGUUUUCUUGUCUCUCAAAACAGGAGAAUUACAGCCUGCUGCUAGAGUGUUUGAUCAGUGUAAAUGAUUUGUGUCUAUAAGAUGCCAUGUACAGCCACAAUCUCAGUGAGAAAUGGGUUGUCGCCUCUUCUUCUUCAACUCAGUGCUCGUGUAAGAAUUCUGGUGACUGUUAGAAGCAUGCUUCCAAGCUGUCCGUGUCCUCGGCAUCCAGAAGCGGAGCCUGGAAGCUACUGAAUUUCUCCAGAAUGCGUUCUACAUUCACCUUCUGCAGAUAAGGAGACUGAGAAUUAGGUCUUCUGUAGUUUGGAUGGAGCUCAUUAUCAAUGACAGGAAAUUGUAAGGAAAAAGAUAUUGAUUCAUCCUGAGAAAAUAUUUUUCUGACCGUCAGCAUUGAAGAGGGUGAACACUGAAGAAGGUGAUCAUUGUUUGAUUGAGACGAGCCCCGGGUUGUACGGAGUCAGCAUCCCUGUCCUGGACACGGCACGUGUAGAUCUGCGUGGUGGGUGAGGCGGUGAGG